AUUUCAAUUUAUUUAGAUCUAAUUAAUUUUUAAUAUAAUUAUAAUUGGUUAGUAUUUUAUUGAGUUUAAAUCAGCCACCUAAAGAAGAGUCCUAAAGUGUUAAAACUCUCCCCCUCUCAUAUGCCAACUAGCGCCACGCCCCACUUUAGUUUUGCACCUAUUUAUUCUCCUCUUUUGCAUGAAAGAAGUUCACGCUAUCUCCUUUCUCCAUG
rnacentral:lncRNA from 1 species